rnacentral:lncRNA from 10 species
UUACAUGGUGGCAGCAAGAGAAAGUGUGGAAGAUGCAAAAGUAGAAAUCCCUGAAAAAACCAUCAGAUCUCGUCAGACAUAUUCACUACCAUGAGAACAAUAUGAGGGAAACUGCCCCCAUGAUUCAAAUUAUCUCCCAGCGGGUCCCUCCCACAACAUGUGGGGAUUAUGGGAGUACAAUUCAAGAUGAGAUUUGGGUAGGGACACAGAGCCAAACCAUAUCACUAUGUAAGCAGAGAAAUUCAAUCUCUCUAUACUUUCUUGUAUGAUUCUCCUAUCUUCCAGCCCCA